CCAGACUCCUACGGGAGGCAGCAGUGAGGAAUAUUGGUCAAUGGGCGCGAGCCUGAACCAGCCAAGUCGCGUGAGGGAGGACGGCCCUACGGGUUGUAAACCUCUUUUGCCGGGGAGCAACGGGCGUCACGUGUGGCGCCACUGAGAGUACCCGGAGAAAAAGCAUCGGCUAACUCCGUGCCAGCAGCCGCGGUAAUACGGAGGGUGCGAGCGUUAAUCGGAAUUACUGGGCGUAAAGCGCUCGUAGGCGGUAUGUCAAGUCAAGGGUGAAAUCCCCGCGCUCAACGUGGGAACUGCCUUUGAAACUGGCAAACUGGAGUGUGUGAGAGGAUAGUGGAAUUCCAGGUGUAGGAGUGAAAUCCGUAGAUAUCUGGAGGAACAUCAGUGGCGAAGGCGACUAUCUGGCACAUAACUGACGCUGAGGAGCGAAAGCGUGGGUAGCAAACAGGAUUAGAUACCCGAGUA
rnacentral:rRNA from 1 species